ACCUGGGGGUACGGGGAGCAGGUGAGUCACCCCAGUGUGGCUGCUGGGAAAGGAGGCCACGGACCGGGCUGCGGCUCACCGUCACCCAGCUGAUCUGGGCCCCCAGGUCCCGGAAGUAGAGUGUGGCCGUGGUGCCCACAGGCAGCUUCUGCAGGACGUCCUCAUCCUUCAGGGACUUGCCCUCUGCAGAGAGACCAGGCCGGGGCUCAGAGCUGCCCAGGACUUCGCCCACUGCCACCCAGAAGCCUAGGGGCGGCCGAGCAGACAGCUGUACUCACUGGGGUCCAGGCGGAGGGACUGGCGGGCAGGGUACCACUGUGGAUCUGCGGGGAGAGCAGGGCAUCACAGCGCACAGCACGGUGGAGCCCAGGGACCCCACGCCUCCUCCAGCCCCAGGACAAGGCCUCUGAGGCCCGAGCUAGGACCCAGCCGGGAACAACCCAGGCAGGAGAGGGAUGUUAUCCUUCCGAAGGCCCGGCAACGACAUUCCUGCUGAAGGCCACGCAGGGACAUCUGUCCCAGGCAAGCCAAGAGAAGCCUGGGCCACACUGGGGGCAUCUCUGCAGGACCUGGGAGGACAGGUGUACAGGACAGGGUCCCACCCAGAGGCCCCUGCCCAGAGGUCACAGGGGUGGCACAGCUGGGCCCUGGACUUACGGGUCUUGGUGAAGAGGUUCUUGAUCUCGGCAAUGGUGGCAUGGGGCUCCACCUAGGGGAAGCAGAGGCCGCAAAGAAGUCGGGGGUAGGGGAGCCUGGUCAGGGCCCCCUCCUGGUGAGGGGGGUCGGACAGGGGGCCUGGGCCGCUGCUAUGGGAGGGGGAAGGCCGGAGUUCGGGCCCCCCUACCUACAUGGCUGAACAGCACAGCAACGGCCCCCCCAGAGUGGAGACGGUAUGAGCCUGCGAAGCUGGGCCUGCUUCCCUGCCUGUGCUCACCCCCACACAGCUGCCCGCAGUGACGGCCCUCGGUCAGAGCCAGAACUCACUGGGGCGGGAGCCCCUUCCCCCCUGCCUGGCAUCUGCAGGGGGCAGCUCUCAGAACCCCCACCUUCUUCCCAGGCCCCAAAGCCCUGCAGGGUCCACAGAGGUUGCCUCACCUCCUCCCACCAGGGGGCCGGCUCCUGGCCACACCCAAGGGCCAGCGCUGCCCACCCCACCCCAUGCCGGCAGGGGCAGGCCCGGGGACGGUACCCCCCAUCCGCCCGAGGAGUAGGUGGGGUGUCAGGACACAGGUUGGGGGGACGCAAGGAGUCCGCCUCCUCAGAACCAGGAGCCCCAGGAAGUAACAGGCCCAGACUCCGUGUCCUUGGCCCAGGGCCGCCGACGCCACGGUCGUACCUUGUCCAGGAAGCACAGCUUCUCUCGCGUCUUCGCGUCCAGAAUCUCCACCUCGAAAAAGAGGACGGCCUUUUUAGGUUUUUUGGUCUUGGCGGGGGCGAUUCGGGGGAGGCCGUUGAGGCCAAGGCCGAGGCCGGGGCCCGGGCCCGGGCCGGCCUCCCGGGCCACCAUGCCCAUGUUCAGGUCCAUGCUGCCCUGCUCUGCCCGCUGCGGCCAGCGGCCCCGGCUGCCGGCCGUCAGCCCCCACCUCGGACCUCCCCAGGCGGAGCGGCUCUGGGCCGGGCGGGCGCGAUCAAAUUCUGCCGCGGUGCUGGAGAGGAGCCCGCGCCUGCCCUGGCACCGCCACCUUCUGUGCAGAUGUAACCCGAGUGCCCCACAGCCACGGCCCAGCUAAAUAUAAAACUGCCCCAGACCGAGCCCCCCAGGAGCCAUGCCACAGACCUCCUGGGGGCGACCCCCGGGGGCUGGGUCCCCCAAAACUGAGGCUUUUGAGUGGACACAGCGCCUGGACAGCACUGGGGGCAGGGAGACCCUCGGAGGCAAGCAGGGAGGCACCUCCCGCCUGGCCCAGUGCAGGGCGGGGCGGGCCUCGGGAGGAGGGCGAGAGAGGCCGAGGGCGGCCCAAGCCUCGGCUGCCUCAGGCCCGCAGGGCUCAAGGGCUCACGGGGCUUGGAGAAAUCCCAGCUAUUUUGAGAAUCCCAGAGACAGAUCAUCCACUUCCCCUUCUGAGCUGUAAGAGACACUGCGGAUUAUUUUCCUUGUGCAUUUGUGUUCCCAGGGAGGUGACAGAUUCCGAAGUUAUUGGUGCAGAGAGCCUCUCUCUAAGUGUGGAAAGGGUCAGGAAACGGAGAAGUUUCCAGCUAGCAUCCCCAGCCUGGAUGGAUGAGGCCCUGGCCCCAGCCCCUGCCUCCCUGACCUCCCUUCUCCACUCAUUUCUCACUAGGUUCACCCGGGCCUGUCCAAGGCCACCUCUGGGGCAGUCUUCCCACCACGUCAGUGCCCAACAAAGUGCCCUUGCCUAGGCCCUGAGCCCACAAAGCCCAAAGCCUGGCCACCCCCAACCCCACCCUUCUCCCAGAGCCGCCCCCAGACAGUGGCAGAGCAGUGGGCAGAGUUGGGAGGGAGAGAGCCCCCCGGGGGGUGGGGGUGGGGGUCUGGCCCACCCAUCCCAAGCAGGUCAGAGAAGGCGCCGGGAGGGGCCGUGAGCAUGUGAACUGCUGAAGCUGGAGGGAGGCCCAGCAGUGGCCGGCGGAUCCCCAAAGGCCCAGGUGCUCCCAUGGGGGGCUUGGCACAGAUGCUACUGACGUGGGUCGUGGCAAGAAGGCCUAGGUCUGACCUCAGGUCAGCCGCUAGCAAAGCAGGCGCUGAGAAUCCUUCCCACCCCUGGCGGACCUCGGUCAGAGGCAGUGUGGAGAAAGGAGCCGGUCAAGAAACCCCAGGGCAGGGCCCCAGCCAGGGCUCUCUGAGGGCAAGGCCGGCCACCCACAGCCCGGCAGAUGGUCCACCGCAACCAGCACCCAUCCCCUAGAGGGAAAGGGAUCCCCUCACACAUCCCCCGACAACACGGAAGAUGUGGGGACUGAGUCUGGCCAUGCCACGAGGUCGCCCGUGACCAGCCCCUCACUUCUCUCCGAGCCUCGUCCAGGAGGCAGGUAGGAAGGCGUGGGCCUCAAGGGGUUAUAAGGGGUCAUGAGACAAUGUGAGUGGAGCACCAGCAUGGGGCCUGACAGGAAGUGCCCCAAAACCUGGGGCCACGAGGCUGGGCGUGAGGAGGCCCGGUAGGAAGGGCACAGGCCUGGGUGCAGAUCCUGGCGGCCUGCAGGCCUGUUUGCCCACGUAUGCUACGCCCGCCCCCCAUCAGGGACACGAGAGGGCCCAGCACCCAGAAGCCCUGGCCCAUGCUGCCUGUUGGUGCCGCACUGGAGUGAGCCUGCUGGGGACUGCCGGCCGUGUGGCCUUGGGGGACAGCCUGCCGAGCCCCUCUGAGCCACGGGCCGAACAGAUGGGGCCAGAAAAGAAGCUGGUCAUACCGCCCAGGGUGUCUGGUCCCACCCAGGGGACUUGUGGGAGAGGGAAGGGGCACACUUGGAACGUGCCAGAAAGGGCUAGAAUAGCAGGGCCGUGGGCAGGCAUAGGGCCUGCCCUGUGGCUGCAGGUAUAUUAAUAGUUCCUGGGUCCCAGCAGGGCGGUGCCCACAUGCCUUCAGAGCCCGUGUGGGGCAGGAAGGCAGCACCAGGCCCACUGGGAGAGGAGGCCUCCAAGUUCCUGCUGAGCCACUCAACAGCUUAAAAUAUAAGCAGCCCCUCUCCCUGCCGGCCAGCUGCUGGGGGAGGGCUGAAAUCCUACCCCUCUCCCCCAGCCUGGGCACCAGACCAGGGUCCGGGGAGAGUCGGGGGCCCCGACUGGCUGCCGGAGAGGAAGCUGGGUGGCAGGAGGGGUGGCCGGGCGAGGGGCACACUCCCAGCGGCCGCGCCAGGGUCAGUCCCAAGCUGGAGGACGGGAGCCCGCGCCCUCACAGAGGCCUGAUGCCAGCCUAGGGUGGGGACCCAGCGUAGGCCUACGCCAGGUCAGACGGUGCAGGCAGCUGCCAAGCACAGCCCUUAGGCAGGGUUCCUGAGCACAGAAGGGUAGGCAGCAGGCCGAGGCCCCAUCCCUGGGGAGAAGACAGGCCUGGGGAAGGGAGGAGAGGUCAGCCCUCCUAAGGGAGCUGGAGGCAGGUGAAGGGCUGGGAGGGGGGUCACUGGCCGGAGGUCCCAGCCGCUGACCAUAGCUAGGGGGUGUGGCACAGCAGGCUCCGGCACCAUGGAUACAGAGGACAAGGACGGGGCGGACACCCUGGCCUGGGACACGGGAGCACGGCUCUGCGAUGACAGUUCCACUAGCCCGGGAGGAAUUCUCACCCAGGCGCCUGAGAUUCCAGGAUCCGGCCCACAGCAACUCGUGGCACCACGAGGAAGGUGCCAUCAGGCCAAGAAGCUGAAAGAGGCAGGAGACACUGAGCCCUGCAAACACAGGCUGAUGGCAGCAGCAGGAGGAGCCCAUCCAGGAUGACCCCCCACCUGCGUCCAGCACAUCUGGCCCAGUGCGGCAGGCAGGUUAGUUCACCCCAGAAACUUCCGGAAUCGCCCGCUCUGGGACCCCCAUGGCCAGCUUCAUACACAGCAACAGCUAACACCUCCCACAUGCUCACAAGGUGCCAGACACAGAGGCACAUUCUCAACACAAAUUACCUUUUGCUAUUAAUCCCCUUUUACAGAUGAGGAAACUGAGGCUCAUUCGUUCACCACAUAAAUACUGAUUGAACAUCUACUAACUGCUACAUGCAGGCACUGUUAAAGGCUCUGGGAAUUCAGCUGUGGAAAGAGAGACAGAAAUCUUUGCCCAUGUGCAGCUGACAUUUUAGCAGGGGGGGGACAACGACCAUCAAAUAAAGUUGCACAUAACAUUAGAAGAUGUCAUGUGCCGUAGGAAAAGCAGAGCAGGGAAAGGGGACAGGGAGUGGAAGGUGAAGAGGGGGUGUGCAGUUUUACACAAACUGGUCAAGAAAGGCCUCCGGAGGAGACCUUGGGACAAGCCCUGAAUGCAGGGGAGGAAAGAGCUGUUGAGAAAUCUGGGGAAAGCAUCCAGGCAGAGAAAUGGCCUGUGCAAAGGCCCUGAGGUUCAGCAUUCUUGGUGUGUUCAAGCAACAGUGCAGAGGACUGUGUGGCUGGAGAGAGUGAGCAAGAAGGGGGCUGGGGGGAGGUAACAGGUUGUGCAGGGUCUCACCCUCCAGAUGAAGACUAUGGCUUCUAUUCCCCCCCCCCUUUUUUUUUAACGUUUAUUUUUGAGAGAGAGAAAGACAGAGUGUGAGCAGGGGAGGGGCAGGGAGAGAGGGAGACACAGAAUCCGAAGCAGGCUCCAGGCUCCGAGCUUUCAGCACAGAGCCCGACGCGGGGCUCAAACACUGACCGUGACAUCGUGACCUGAGCUGAAGUCGGACGCUCAACUGACGGAGCCACCCAGGCGCCCCGGCUUCUAUUCCAAGUGAGGUAAGAACCCUGGAGGAUUCUGGGCAGAGCAGGGAUAUGACCUGACAAGUUCCUAAAGGAUCCAUCUGGACUACAGGGGAGAAAGGGUGGAAGCAGGGAGCCGAGUAAAAAGCUAUGGGGAUAAUUCUGUCAGGAUAAAAGAUGUCUGAGACCAAAGGGUCGGCCAACUAUGGCCCAGAGGCCAAUUCCGGUCCACCGCCUGUUUCUGUACAAACUAAAAUCGUCCUUAUACUUUUAAAUGGUUGGGAAAAAAAUCAGAAGCCUAUUGCGCAGCACAAGGACAUGACGUGAAAUUCAAACUUCAGGAUCCACAAAGCUGUAUCACAGGAACAAGGCCAUGGCUCACUGAUUGUUAAUGUAUCAUCUGGCUGCUUUGUUUGUUUGUUUGUUUGUUUUACAACUAUCGAGUUGAGAAGAUGUCACAGGGGCUGUAUGGCCCACCAAGCCCACAGUAUUUCCCGUCUGGCCCCUCACGGAUAAAGGCUGCCGACCCCUGGCCUGGGCCCGGUGAUGGUGGGGGGCUGAUGACAAGUGGCCGCAUUCCAGCUGUACAGUGAAGGCUGAGCUGCAGGGUUCGCUGACUUGGACACGAGACGCGGGAGAACAAGCAGAGCCAGAGCCUCGGGGCUGGGCGAUGAGAAGGCGGGAAGCGCCGUUAACUGGAGGGGGGACACGCAGUUUGAGGGCAGUCUGGGGCUCAGGUCGGGACAUUAUUAAGUCUGAAAUGCCCAUUAAACGGCCCCACGGAGAGCUCCAGCUCACUGAGAGACCACAUAAGGUGGGGGGGGCCGGGGGCGACGUGGAACCUUCACAAGCCUGUUCUGCUGACUGAGAAGUUCCCGUUCAUUCUCUCGGGAAGUGCUUACCGAGCCCCUCGACGUGCUGGGCCCUUGCUAGGGGCUGGGCUUGAUGAAUAGAGAGACCUAUGUGUGACAGUAGUGUGCUGGGCAGUGUUCCCAGUGCUGGGACAGAAUGGUGAGCACAGCUGAGAGACGCCAUGCUCCUCGACUGGUCCUGUUCACACUCAAGGGGAACGUGGGCAAAGCACCUAUCACGUAACAUGAGGUUGGGACAUACCAGGUGCUGUGAAGAGAGCCUGGCAGGGGACCCAGAGCACCAGAGGAAGUGGUCAGGGAAAGCCACUCUAAGGAAGUAUUAUCUGAGCCAUAGCCAGAAAGAAGCCAAAGGGAGGACCGGCCUGAGGCUCCCUGUGGGAAGUGCAAAGGCCCUGAGGCAGCAGUGAGUUUGGCAGUGCUCUGGAACAUCCAGCGGGAACAGAAUGGACUUGAGCAGCUGAGGAGGCUCGAGUGCACGGAGGCCCAGACCAGCACUUUGGGAAGUCGCUGGAGUGCCACCACCUGCUUUGGUUUUGAGAAAGAGCCCUCCCGCUGCCACUGCUGGGAGCAAGCAUGGAAGCAGACACAGCAGUGAAUCUCAGAAACAACCCAGGCCAGAGACCUCAGUGGGGCUUGGACUAGGGCAGAGGUGACAAGUGGUAAAAAAGACACUCUAGUUCCUGGAUCCUGAGACACCACUGAUUGAGACCAAGCUGCCAAUUUGGGGGGUGGGGGGUCGGGGAGUGGAGAACUUUCUAUAUAAACAUGACAUGUAUAUAUAUCAAUCAUAAGACACAGCCCAACUUAAGGUGAAAACUGCAUUCUGGGAUAGAAGGAGAACACUAACAAGUUAAGAGGAUUUCGGCAGAGGAGGGCAGGGCUUCUGGAAGGUUUAACAGGCCUCCCUGCAUCUUUAAAGGGAGAGGUGAAUUAAGAGGUGGCUCUCGCCGUUGACAGAGGGGUCCAGGAAGAUGCCCUUGGCUGUCUUCCCACCUGCAGCAUUACCUGUGAGCAGCACCCUGAGCCCCGCAGGCCCCUCUGGCUCCGCUCAGCCCCUCUGGCCGACAGCAAAAUGAAGCGAGGGAAAAGGAACCGAGAGUUUUAUAUGCACGUGCUUCCCCGUGCCUUCUCUCCCCAUGAUGCUCGUUCCCAGGCCCAGCCGGGGAGGCUGGCAAUGAGUUCACUUCCAUGCGGCGUCCACGACACCCCAGGUGAGCCGGAAUGUGGCAGAAGAUGCAGUUCCCAGGCCCACUCCUCAGACCGCGCCUGGAGGGGCCUGGCAGGAAACAUUCUUAGGGUCUGGUGAUCGUGGCUUAGCACUACCCACGGCAUCCCCACCUCAUCCGCACAUGAAAACUCAGAGUUCGGGUAACUUUUGGGUCAAAAAGUGGGGGGGAGGGGGAGGGCCAAACUCCAAAGUGCCAAAAGAUGAGCCGUGACCAGCUUCAUGACGGAAAGGCAGGAGCUCAGGGUCAGGACUGCCAGCCCGAGGGGCAGCCGUGUACCCCACAACCAUGUGAGGGUCCUUCCUCCUCAUCCGACUUCAGUGUCUUUGGGGGGGGGGGGGGGGCAUCAGCGAUGCGGCUAACUGCCUGAGCGUGCCCAGUGCCUUGCUCUGCAAGCCGGUGUCUCUAACAGAUGUGCACAUGAUCGCCUGUUCCGCCAGGGGCCAGGGCUUACAGCGAGCGAGGAGCUCAAACACACAAACUAUCAGAAGGUGCUAAGUGCUGUGCAGAGAACUAAAACAGGAGAGGCGACAGGUGGCGAGUGUGGCCUGAGUGGAUCAGGGUGGGGGGAACCUCUCAAGAGGAGGUGACAUUCAUGCUGAGCCCUGAAUGACGGGAUUCCCAGACAGGAAGGGCAAAGCCAUCUCUCCUGAAACACUGGUAUUUAGCACAGGGGUUGCACGACUCAACCCAGCCCUGGGGUGGAUGGUGGAUGGUGGAUGGUGGAUGGAUCCCCAUCCCCAGCCAGGAGAUUCUGUUAGACUUUAUUCUCUGGUGGAAAUAAUAUUCCACAACAUACUGUUUCGGACUACACGUAUCUCCCCAAGAAUUCUGAUACUCCCCUCACUCCCCACAAAGAGUAUGUUUCCCCAACCUUCCCUCCUCCCACUGACCCACCCUUCUCCUGAGUCAGACUCUUGAGGGGUCCUGGGGAACAGCUUCCCCCGACAAGAGUGGAGACUCCGGGUCUGUGACCUGCCUCCUGAUGUUCCAGGAUGCCCCAGUGCGAAACCGCCCUCCCCCAAACUCGGCCGGCCCGCCCUCACCCUGAGGACAGGCACUGUUCCCACGGGCCCCACCACAAAAUUGGCAUGGCCCCGGCCAGUGCUCCCUGGUCCCUUUAAAAAGGAAAAACAGAGUUCAGAAGGACCCGGACAAUGGCACAAACCCUGCAGUCUAUGGGGCCAACUGAAUGGCCUGGGGACUCUGCUUACAUAAGAGCCUGGUUCGAGCAGGGACAGGGCCAGGGCCGUGCCAGCCUGCCAGUCACCGUGACCUACUGAGAGGCUCUUUAUCCCUCAGAGAGCUGGGAAAGGCUCGUGGCCCAUCUCUAACUAACCACGAGACUGGCGGGGCGGUGGCGGUCGGGGGAGCGGGGGGGCCCAAACACCAUCCACACCCGCCAGUCAGUAAUAAGGAACAACUACUCUGCCCAUUUAUGCAACACACAGCAGAACGCGAGGACCCCUCCCCCCCUCCCAGGACUUAAAAAAUAAACCGCCCUCUUAAAGUUGACCUUUUAGGCAAAAUCAACAGAGAAGGGACUUCAUCACCCUCAGGAUAAAGUCCACAGGUCUCUGGCCAGUCGGCCUCAUCACUCGACAUGGGCCAUCCACAGAGUCAGGCUUCCCGGCCUCUGCACAUGCUGUCCCCUCCCCUUCCCUGAAAACAUUCCCCUUGGGGCCUCGGCUCAGCUCGGUGAAAAGACCUGGAGGGCAGAGGCUGCGGUUAGUCCGUCUUCCUGGAGAGUGACAGGCACAGAGAAAUGCACUGGAGCGAAUGAACGAAUGAAUAAAUGGCAGAAGGAAACAGAUAAGUGGAGGCCCACGACAGGAGACCGCUCAGACCAGGACGACCCGCAAGCAUCCCGUGUGGCCGGGGACAGGCCCAGGCGCGGAGCUGGCAGCUCGUGGUGAGGCCCAAGCAUGGGGAGGAGAGGAUGAUGCGGAACAGGCUGGCUGGCCGCGGUGGCGCUGGACCCGGGGCUCGCGGACAACGGGCCGUAAGAAGCCAGCUUCCCUGGGUCACGAUCAGUAAGGACUGACUCGGCCCAACGCGGGAGAUGCAGUUCUCAGCCAGAUCCCUGCAGCAGCCCCACACUCGCCCCUCUGCGCCCCAGGAGCCUGACCACCAGGAGAAGACGCAUUCGUGCAUCUCGUCAGUCAGUAAGGAGGCGCCGGCCAGGCGCCGGGGAAGCUGCAGGGACAAGACACAGAGUCCCUCCCUGCCGUCACCAAGCUCACAGUCUGACCGUGUAGAACCCAAGUGAAAAUGCAACCACGGCCCAAGGUGGGCCCGACGGACGGGAGCAGGGUGCCAGGGGGUGGGGCGGGGGUCAUCCUCCAGGUAAGAUGGUCCAGGAAGGCCUCUCUCUGCAGGACGUGGAAGCUGAGCUCUCAGUAAGUAGCGGCCGGGGAAACACAGAGGAAGAGCCUUCUGGCUGAGGAAACAGGCAGAUGCUCAGGGCUGGAAUGGGGCUGCGGGUGUUUGAGGAGACGAAAGACAGAAGUGUAGAGGGUGAGGAAGGCAGGGGACAGAGGACGACGAGGAGCCUGAGAGACGGUUCUGAGGCCCGGGUGCUAAGAUCCUCCCAUUUACACGGGAGAAGCCCCUGCAGCCGCUGCAGGGUACGGAACAUGCCAGAAGCUGCCCGGCUUCCGAGGGAGCAGGUUCGACGGCCAUCAGAUGGACAGACCCACCCGAAGCACCCACUUCCUGGGACAGCUCUCUGUCCCACUAAGUCCGAAAAGUGGGUUCUGACUGUGCUUCCACUUGGCCCAGGGAAAGAGGUCGUCCCCAAAUGUGACCUCCACCGUGUGUGACAGUGUAUCAAGACUGACCACCGGCUGCUUCCUCCCUCUUCUGGGCAUACCAUUUAGCAUGAACCCAUCUCCAGCAGGAGGCCUCCAUGGCCCGGUUCACUGGCAAGUUGUAAGGCUUUCAAGAGAGGCCACGUGCACAAAGCAUUUCCGAGACCUGACCGAUGCGGCUCUCCCGAUCCGUCCAAUGAUUUGUCCUGAACCACCUAACGCUCUAUACCCCGACUGCGGGCCAGUAAGUGUGCUGGACAUGUCACACUCCCCAGCGGCCCUCCGAGACAGGUGUCCUUACCCUGGAUUCAUGGGAGAGAAAACCGAAGCUCAAGCAGGGAGAACUGUCUGUCCCAAGGGCAGUGCCUCCAAAGACAUCCCCCCCUCAACGCACAACCGCCCGGGCCCACCCACAGUGAAGCCCCCCCCCCCCCGGUGGCCCACCAGAAUCCUGGCUCUGCCACUCGCUGAGGGACUAAGGGCCCGUCGCUUCACUCCUCUGUGCCCCAGUUUCCCCAUCUGUCAAACAGAGAGAAGAACGGUCCCUACCCCAUGGGUUCGUUACCAGGAUUAAAUGAGUUAUCAGCUAAAAGCGCUCAGAGUGAGUACCAAGCUGGUAGAGGCGUUCUGAGGAGGAGGAUUCCUUGGCUGUCCCCAGGUAUUAAAACAUCCUCUGCUGCCACUGCCACCCAGCCCAAGGUCUGGCCAAAUCUGUCGGUGAAAGCGCACGGACUGCCAACCAAACUCAAGGGCUGAGUCCCUUCCUAGCACAGUCCCCACUCAGGGCUGUCUGUCCAGUCGCCACUUACCUCUCCUCAGGAACCGGUUAUUCAAGAGGCUCUGCGCGGCUCCGAAGGAGCUCCCGGGUCCCACCCAGGCUCACCUAGGCCCACCCCGCCCACCACUCCGAUCCUUGCACUCACCUCCCAACCUCAGCCCCGCCCCCGCCCCGCCUCCCCUGUCUAGGCCCCGCCCCGCCCGCCUAGGCCCCACCUCUCCUGCCUAGGCCCCGCCCUCCCCGCCUCGGCCCCACCUCCCAGACUUAAGCCCCGCCCUUCCCACUCAACCCGACCCAAGGCUCUUGGGCCAAGGCACACCAACACAAGGAAGGUCUUUAAACCUCACGGCGGCUUUCCCGGCCUGCCAAUCCCAAUCCGGCUCCCCCCUCUAGAACUCCGAGGGACAGCCCAUCCGAUUUUAGGGCCAAGAGAGACUCUCGGCCAGCACUCCACACCGACCCACAGAGCCUCUCCCACUCUCCCUCCAGGGACGCUUUGUCCUCAGAACAAUGGCGCGGCGCGGCACAGCACAGCCUGGCCACCAGCAGCCUUUGGAAGCAUCAGCAGGGACAGAAACUGGAAAGGCGCAAACCCAGGGCUCAAGCCCAGCUACACGGCUUCCUGACUCUGUGACCUUCGGCAACUUAAUUUGCUUCUCUGAGCCUCAGUUUCCUUAUGUGCAAAGUAGAAGUAAUACUCGUGCCCACCAGAUCACCUGUGCUUGUUGGUGCCCCCCCCCCCAUUCCUCUUCUACGGAUGGGCAAUCAGACGGACCUGAGUCUGGAUCCCCUCUCUGCCACAACAUGACCUUGGGUAAGUUGGGCAAGUUCCUUCACCUGAGCCUCGUGUUCCUUAUCCACAAAUGUGAGCAAAGAGGACCCACCUCUCAGGUUUUCGGAUACAAUAAAUGUGACCUGUCCCUGCUAUUAAUCCAGCAGGAUUGAUUAUCUGGCCCAAGAAGAGGGGACCACAACCAGCAUCCCAGCCUGUCUGCAAAUGCAAAACCAGUCCCAAAGACAUUUUUGGAAGGCCUUUUCUUUCGAUGCAGCAUGCAGAAGGGUGUGAGAGUGAAGAGGUCAAGCAGUCCCCAUUUCAGAACACCAACACUUUUCUGCAAACAGGCGCCACAUUUAAGGUACGAAAGUCAGAGACCCACACAUAAAACGGGCUCAACAGUCAGAGAAACCCAAAAUAUCCCUCACCUAUUCCAAAAGGCCACAAGAAUUCAGAAGAAAAAAGUACAAAAAAACCCAGCAGACACCCAAGAUCCCACCUCCCAGAUCCUCCCAGAUUUAAGAAUUAUUUACAUCAGAUUCCUUUUUUUUUUUAAUAAAACAGACAUAGCUGAAAGCCUUCCACACCCCUUUUCUCCCCACUCCCUCUCCCCAAGCAACGGUUCCUCUGUGUGAUUCCCACAUACUUCUAACCUCUAAUCACAACAUAUCCACUUAUUAUGUACAUAUCCAUAAGCAGUACAGAUAAAUCUCUCUCAUUUGGUACUUUUUGAAAUACAUAGAAUCUUUUGCAGCUUGCUUUUUUCCACUCAACAGGAUAUCUGGAGAUUUACGAAAGGACUGGGAAACCAACGUAGAUUUUUUUUUUCAUAAAAUGGAACUGUGCACAACAGUUAAAAUGAAUGAACCAGGGCUACCUGUAGCACCCUCUGAUGAUAUAUUUCCAUCAACUUCCUAAUGUUCUUUCAUACUGACCUUUGCCUUCACAGGUUGCAUUUGUCCCCAAUGAGCAGUCACAGUCACAGAAAGGCUCAAAGUAGUUAAGCUGCUCUGGUCAGUGACACAGUUAUGUACUGAGUGGCAGAACCAGGAUUCAGCCCCACCCCUGCCCAAAGCCCACACACUUAAGACACCAUUAACCAUGGGUCUACUUUCUCCUUAAUUUUUGCCUUCCAGCCGUUUUCUGGCUCUAAACAACUGCCGUUUGACCAGAACUCUACCUUCCAGAACUUUCACAUGCUUAUUCCUGUGGCGUUAGUGGAAGCAAAACUUGCCUGAGGCAAGGUACUGUGUUGGUCUAGGAUUAUUCGCAAAAUGAGCACCAACAGAGCUACCCUUUUUUUUGGGGGGGGGGGGUGGAAGAUCCUACAUAAGGGCAGUGGGGACCCCAAGAGGAUGAGGCUUCCUUGUCUCCAGGUACCCAUCUAGAGGAAACGGGCAGUGAAGGGCUCAGAAGACUGAGAGGCGCUGAUCUUCCUGGGAAUUAACAGACUCAUUUACAAGACACAAGAGCUGUUUUUCCAGUUACGCCUGGGAUCAUUACUUUGAGCUCUCAUCUGCAAUGGCAAAAACAGCAAUAAAAAAAAUAUGGAAGGAAGGAAGGAA